rnacentral:rRNA from 1 species
AUUGAACGCUAGCGGGAUGCCUUACACAUGCAAGUCGAACGGCAGCGCGGACUUCGGUCUGGCGGCGAGUGGCGAACGGGUGAGUAAUGUAUCGGAACGUGCCCAGUAGCGGGGGAUAACUACUCGAAAGAGUAGCUAAUACCGCAUACGCCCUACGGGGGAAAGGGGGGGAUCGCAAGACCUCUCACUAUUGGAGCGGCCGAUAUCAGAUUGGCUAGUUGGUGAGGUAAAGGAUCACCAAGGCGACGAUCCGUAGCUGGGUUGAGAGGACGACCAGCAACCCUGGGACUGAGACACGGCCCAGACUCCUACGGGAGGCAGCAGUGGGGAAUUUUGGACAAUGGGGGCAACCCUGAUCCAGCCAUUCCGCGUGUGCGAUGAAGGCCUUCGGGUUGUAAAGCACUUUUGGCAGGAAAGAAAUCGCACGGAUUAAUACUCUGUGUGGAUGACGGUACCUGCAGAAUAAGCACCGGCUAACUACGUGCCAGCCGCCGCCGUAA